GCAAUUCUAGAGUAUAGGCAGCGGAAAGUAAAUUGCACAUGUAGUAAAGAGAGGUGGAGAAGAGCAAACGCAAUUUUGGAGACGCGGUGAUUUUUCUCGUGGUUCCGAUAGGUGGUGCUAUCGUACUUCCACGUUGAUGGAGACUUCAACCCACGGAGGGUAACGGCUGCGAGAGUCCACGGAGGGCUCCACCCAUGAAGGGUCCACGAAGAAGCAACCUUGUCUAUUCCAUCAUGGCCUACGCCCACGGAGGGCUAGCCUUACUCGGGGUAGAUCUUCACGAAGUAGGCGAUCUCCUUGCCCUUACAAACUUCUUGGUUCAACUCCACAUCUCGACGGAGGCUCCCAAGCGACACCUAACCAAUCUAGGAGGCACCACCCUCCAAAAGGUAAUAGAUGUUGUAGAUGAUGAUGAACUCCUUGCUCUUGUGCUUCAAAUGAUAAUCUCCCCAACACUCAACUCUCCUCACUGAUUUGGCUGUGGUGGAAGAAAGGAUUGAGUGGAAAGCAACUUGGGAAGGCUAGAGAUCAAGCUUCAUAUGGUGGGAGUGGAGCAACUUGAUCUCAACACAAGGGUAGGUAGUUCUCUUCUCAGAAAUGUAAGGUAGGAGUGGUAGUUCUUUCUGAUGGCUCUCUCCACGAAUGAAGAGGGGGUGGAGGGGUAUAAAUAGCCUCCACACAAAAUCCAACCAUUACACACAUUUGAGCAAUCUCGGUGGGACCGAAGUUGACAACUCGGUGAGACCGAUAGUUCAAAUAAUGUGAACGUUGGGAUUUUCGGUGGGACCGAAAAUACAAUCUCGGUUAGUCCGAUUCGUGCAAUGACAAGAGCAUGCCAAUUUCGGUGGGACCGACUUCAUCAUCUCGGUGACACCGAUUUGAUGACAGAAGGUUACAGAAGCUUGGCAACUCAUUUUUCGGUGAGACCGAGUUCAGAAUCGGAAAAUCCGAGUUUGCUAGGGUUUGGCUUUAUGGCUGAGGUGGUUCAUCUCGGUGUGACUGAGUUUGGAAUAUCGGUGGGACCGAGACUACUUAUGAGUGUAUAUGGCAGUGAAAGUUGCUGAUAGUUUAGGAGAUGUAUCACUAAGCACUUGAGCAACCAGAUCAUCAUCAUAACCUCAUCCCCUUCUAAUAGUAUUGGCUUUUCCUAUGGACUCAAUGUGAUCUUGGAUCACUAAACCAAAAAUGGAGUCUUGAGCUUUUGCCAAUGCUUGCCUUAGCAUUUUGAGGGGUCCACUUCUUCAGUCCUUGCCAUACCCAUAUCACUGAACUCUCUGAAAUGAUUCUCAAGUAACUAUUAGUUCAAUGAUAUAUAUGUUGUUAUUAAUUACCAAAACCACCCGGGGAUUAGUUGCACUUUCAAUCUCCCCCUUUUUGGUAAUUGAUGACAACAUAUAGAUCAAAGCUUCGACAAAGGAUAUAAUCAAUGAAUAAUAUCGUCGCUUUGAGAAGUAUGUGAUAAGCAAGAGCUCCCCCUAAAUUUGUGCAUUAUUUAAGAUUUGCGUUUGAAUGCAAAUGCACAAUCGAUUAGGAUCAUGGGUCACUCUUCCAUAUCACAUACAUCUUGGUGGAGCGCACAAAAUGAUAAGAAUGAACAGCAUGCACCCAAUCACCAAGACAUGAGUAAAUGGUCAUACGAGAUAGGAAUGGCAUAUGAUAAUCAUUAAGCACACAUUAAAACAUAGUACGACCAAGCACUCAUUAAGGUAGAAUCAAACGUAGUAUCAAACACACUGAAUGUCUCGAAAACCAAAAGUAUCUCAAAGAAACCGCAAAAGAACGAAAGAGCAAAAGCGACAACAGCACUCUCUCUCUCGAAGUCCUAUGAUCUAUACAAUUUCUCACCCUUUGGCAACAAGUUACCAAAAAGUUCGAAAAAGCAUAGAGCUAAGCGUCACUGGGGACUCUGCUGGCGGCUCCCGUCUGGGUUGAUGUUGGAGUGGAUAUGACAGCAUCGGCGAAGACUUCAGCUGAUGUCUGUGCUGGAGGAGUGGUCACUGGAGUUGGAGUUGGAGUAACUGCUGGAACUGUGGGAGGUGCUGAAGCUGUAGUCCUGGUGUCUGUCACUGGAAUAGCAGCUGAUCGGGGUCCUGUGGGAACCGGAGCAGUCUGCUGAUAAGCAUCCUGGACUAAGUCAUCCUGCAUCUCACGCAUGAGCUCUUCCUUCUCCCGCUUUUCUUCCUCAAUGUCUGCCUCGAGCUUGUUGACAGUCACUCGCAUUUCAGUCAGCUUCACGUCCAGAGCGUGGAUCUUGUCCUCAACAAUCCUCUCUAGGCUCUCCUGAGACUGUACAAUGCUGGCCAGGCGUUGUUCAAUCCUUUGGGUAGCUUCAAGAAUCUUCUCUCCGAAACUCUUUGGUUUAGCUGCUGCUGCUGCUGCUUCCUUGUCAGCUUUGGCUUUCUUAGCAGCUUCGAUCUUGGAUUGACCUUCAACAGAUGUUGGAUCCUCCUCAUCCAUCACAACAACAUUGUCUUCAUGCUCUGGCUGCAACGGUAAAUGUUCUCUAUCCAACAAGAAUGUGCCCGUGCCAAACUUGGCAUUGAUAAGCAUCUGAAUCUGCGGGGCAAAUCCACACGACCAUUUCUGGUCAGCUGCAGUCCUCUUAAUGGUCUCUACCAUCAAGUCCAUCACCUUGAAAGGUGCUUUCUCAUCAAGUAGGUGCAGCAUGUUGAUAGAGUAUCCUCUGAUCAUGCGAUGAUCUCCAGACUUGGGCAUCAAGGUAUGCCUCAAAAUGGUAUUAGUGGUAGGUAAGCCUGCCUGGAGAUAGUAGACUGAGCCGAGCUUCCAAAUUCCCAAGUCCUUUGCUGGAACCUCUUUGUACAUGUUCUUCAUGGAUUCAUGAUUCUUCUUUGGAAUCCCAUAUACAUCAAUAUCAUCUUCUCGUUGCAUUGGAGCAUUCAGAAUUUCUGCCCAUUCUUCAACAGUAGAAGAAAAUCUUUGACCUUCAGUCAUCCACGUAAUCUUCCCAUCAGGGUAGAAGUGAGCUGUGGCAUAGAAUUGCAUUAUCAUCUCAUCGUUCCAACUGGUCAAUUUCUGACCAACAAAAUCUGCAACACCACAUGCAGUGAAACUUUCAUGCACAUGUGGAAAGAAAUCUCUGUGCUCUUCGCUUUCAAUGUACUUCCAGUCAACAUAUCUUGUGUCUGCGACUAUGGGCUUCUUGUCCAUCAGCACGGUCUCAUAGAAGUCCUGCUGCUCUCUGUUGUGAAAUCUGGGAUCUACAGCAGUUCUUCUCCUCACGGCAUAUGGGUCAGUUUGUCUCCAUAGCCUGAGACCUCUAUCUUUCAUUGCCUUCAUAUCCUCAGCUUGAGGAUGAGCAUCAUCAUGGACUGGCAGUUUUGGACGAAGUUUCAGCAAAACUGGUCCUUCAUCAUCUGACACAGCUGGUGGCACAUCAUCCUUGUUCUUUUCAGACGCUGGAAUGUUUCUGACGGUCUUCUUGGGCUUGGCAGCAGGCUUUGCUGGAGCUGCCUUAGCUGGAGCAGAUUUCUUGGGCUUUGAUGUGGCUCCAACCUUAAUGGCAUCACCCAUGAACAUAGGCUUCUGAGGAGGAGGCUGGGGUGCUCCCUCAUCCUCAUCUUCUUCUGCUGCAUCAUGCACUAUCCUCUUUCUCUUGGACGUUUUCUUCACUUUGCUUGCAGCUGCCUCUCCCAAAUUCAGCUUCUGAGCAACAGUUGACUGCUUGACUUUGCUGGUGCCCUUCUUAGUUUGUUGACCUUGUUUCUCUUUGGCAACAACCUUCCUUUUGGGCUUUGAGGUCACCUCUUCCUCAACGACAAAAUCUGAAUCUUCAUCAUCUGAAUUCCUCUUCUUUCUAGCUCUGGUGGCUGCAGGAGGCAAGCCACUUGGUGUACUCCUCUCACCAUCAUCAGAUGAGCUGCUAGGAUCAGGACUAGUGCCUGCCUCUGGAAUAUCUGCAAUGGGUGUCUCUGACCUGUUCUGACUGUCACUGGCAUCUGACAUGGCUGACAACCUGUGAAUAGAUAAGGUGUAGGCAGAGAAGAAGAGUCAUCACAAAAUGCAGAAGUUUUUGCAAAAAAUAUGAGUUCAAAUUCUAGUAUUAGGUUUUCACAUAAGACAUUUCGGUCAAACCGAGUUUAAGAUUCGGUGAAUCCGAAGUGUUAAACAGGAGCUGGCACACCACUUUCGGUUUGACCGAAGUGGGUUUCGGUCCUGCCGAAAACACUAGGGUUUCAUAGAAUUUUCAUUUCGGUCACACCGAUUUUGCACAACUCGGUUGGACCGAAAGGUGCAGUGCAAUGGCCAUAGGCCAAAUCGGUCAUACCGAAAUUAUAAAAUCGGUCUCACCGAGAUGUGUUCGGCGGAAACCUAACCCUAAAACUUUUACUCGAAUCUAGUCCAAACGAACUAAUCUGGUGUACAGGAGGAUUUCAAUCGUGGCAAGAUUCUAGGCAAUCCAAACGUGCAUUGAAUCGGAGCUGGGAGCACGAGUGGGAUCAAAACUCACCCUAACUUGGUGGAGUUUUUCUACGGCGGCAACGGCGCGGAGGAGAUGUCCGUUGACGGCGACGGAGACCUGCGGCGAGGGCGCACAGGCGACGAUGGCGAUGAUCCGGAGACCAAGGCGACGGCAGCAAGGGGUGUGGGGGCGAAACGUUUGAACGAGGAAUCAACACGCGUGGCCCUCGGAGUAUAUAUACCCCUUUGCUGUCGGUGGGACCGAGUUGUAAAACUCGGUGGCACCGAGAUGGAUAACUGCUAGGCAGUUAUGCACUUCGGUCAUGCCAAAAAUCACAACUCGGUUUCACCGAGGUGAAAACCUAGAUCAGUCCAAAUGCUUUCGGUUCGACCGAGUUUGAGUGAGUUGGUCUGACCGAAAUCAAUUAGAAGGUUUUGGAAGUUAGCCUUUGACGGAUCGGUGGCUCCGAGUGCUCCUCACCCGGAGGGUCCGAAAAUGACUUGUUCAAAAUUUGUGAUGUAAGCAUGAAUAGAAUUUGAGACAAGAAAGCAUAGAUAGCUAGGGGAGGUACUUAGGAUUCUUGUCCAUCCAUUUGGUCAGAAAAAUCAAAACGACCAAAGCAACAAAUGGAUGUCCUCGAAUGGAUAAAAUCAUGCAUCCAACAUGCUCCCACAAUAAGAUAGCAAAUGAAAUAUGUGUCAAACAUGCACAACCAAAACUCUAGGUACUAUCACACAAUUUGUCGAUGACUAGGUCAUCUUUAUAUGAGUAUAUUGACUUAGGAGCCAAAUGAGAACAUUUGAUCAUAGGUCAUACUCAUCGUUUAAGCACAAGUGGGGUUACCACUUUUACAUAAAGCAUUGAUGUGUUCACAUCAUUUGAAGAUGCCUUAGCUCAAUUUUUAGAGCAAAGCUCCCCCUAGAUGUGAGAACCCCUUUUAAAGGGUCAAACUAACCUUGGCAUGUCUUAGAAGACUUCAUGUAGAUGUUGAAGAUGUGGAUGCUCAAUGUUGAUGUAGAUCAUCAAGAGUUGAGAGCUAUCCCUUGGAUUCGGGCACUUUCAAUACCUACAUGGGUUAGUCCCACAAGGAACAAACAAGGAUAUCCAUGGACAUAGAUUGAAGUUCACAAUAGAUGAUGUCCAUGAAAGCAAUGAUUACCUUGUCCCUUGACUUACCAACAAGAGGGUUUGUGACUCCAUGAACUAGUGCACGAUGUGGAAGUUGAUUGCACAAGUUUUUGCCAAAAUGAAUGUGAGUGAAGUAUGUUGGCGGAGUCACCCUCAAGAACUUUCUAGUUCUUCUUCUUCGGGAUCCACAUCAUCUUGAUGGGAAUCCUUGGGGUUGUAGUUGAGCUUGACGAAGUAGAACUUGACGUUUCCUUGGGAACCCACUUGACCAUGGCUUGAGGUGCUUCAACAAAUGCAUCAAUCUCCUCUUGAAGCUUGUCCUUGCCUUUUAGCUUGUGGUCUUGUGGUGGAAGGUCAUCUUGAGCUUGUUCCACCUUGGAAGAAGUAGGAUCAUACUUCUCCUUUUGAGGAACAAACUGUGGAGUAGGAUAUUGACCUUCUUCCCAUUCAACACCUUCGGCGUUGAACUUUCGCUCAAAACCAAUUCCUUGAUUCUUCCGGUGCCUUCCUUGCUUGCGAACAAUUUCCUCAAAGUUCUUGCUUCCGGCAAGGCUCUUGUAGACACCUUUCUCUAUGAUCCCUUUCAAUAAACUAUUUUCUUGCUCAAGUGUAACUUGGCUUGAAACAUGGUUAGUGGAAUCAAGAGAACUACUAGAAGCAACAACAUUGGAUUUAGCAUGGUUAUUGUUACUACUAGAAAAGGAAUUUUUCUUAUGCUUGUCAUGCUUAGUCUUAAUGGGUGGCAAGAAAUUAGACAAGAGAAGUCAUUUGGCAAGAUAUGAAGAACUAUUCUUUCGAAGAUCGUCAUUGAUUGCUUUUAGAAACUCAUGUUCUUGCUCUAGAGUGAGCUUCUCGAAGCGUAGCUUCUCAUGCGAUCUUAGGAGCUCUCUAUGAUCUUCUUGAGUUGUUUCAUGAGCUAACUUAAGAGUUUUUAGUUCUUUAGUUAGACGCUCAAUCUCCUUCAUAGCAUUGUCAUUCGACUCUUCUCGACUAUAAAGACUACUAGCAUGUUCAUCGUUACUAGGUUCAUUGGAUUUAUCAAGUAAGAGCUCAUCUUCACCAAGCAAGUCAUCCUCAUCACUAUCGAAGUCAAUGAAUUUAGGGUGUGAUACCUUGGGGCCUUUAGCCAUGAAGCAUCUUCCAAUUCCCUCAUUUGGUGAAUCAAAUAAGUCGUAGGAAUUGGAGUUGGAGGAUACGAGAGCAAGACCGGCAACACCUUCAUCUUGACUGUAGUCGGAGUUGGAGUGAUAGCUUCCUUCGGAUUGAUUGUCGGAGUCGGAGCCGGAGACCCAUUCACCUACAUGAGCUUGAUGUUUUCUUCUUGUGUAGCUCCUUGAUGACUUGUCUUUCCUCUCCGAAUCCUUGCUUCUCUGAGAGGGUCUUCGUUCAUAACGAUCAUCUCUGCUCCUUCUCUCUUUCCGAGGUGACUCAUAUCUUGAGCUUCUUCUUCUUGGAGAUUCUUCUCUUCUCUUGUGGGGAGCCGUACACUCAUUUGAGUAGUGUUCGGGUCUUCCACAAUUGUAGCAGUUUCGAUCACGACUAGAAGAUCUCUUUUCAUCAUAUGAUCUAGACUUUGAGCUUCUCUCUUUGCCUCUAUUCUUGUAGAAUUUGUUGAAGUUCUUGACCAUUAGGCUUAUCUCUUCAUUGGAAACUAACUUGUCACUUGAGGUUGUGGGAGCAUCACUUGUAGCUUUGUAAGCACCACUUGACUUGUUGUGAAGCUCUUCCUUAUCCUUAAGUGUCAUCUCAUGAGCAACAAUUCUUCCAAUGACUUCGGUUGGCUUGAGAUUCUUGUAGUUUGGCAUCAUUUGGAUCAAAGUGCACACGGUGUCAUACUUUCCAUCCAAAGCUCUGAGAAUCUUCUUGAUGAUGAAUCGGUCGGUCAUUUCUUCGCUUUCUAAGCCGGCAAUUUCAUUUGUGAUGAGAGCAAGCCUAGAGUACAUUUCAGCGACUCCUUCACCAUCCUUCAUCUUGAACUUGUCAAGUUGACCUUGAAGAAUAUCUAGCUUUGACUCCUUCACGGACUCGGUACCUUCGUGCAUUUCAACCAAAGUAUCCCAAAUCUCUUUUGCAUUCUCAAGACGGCUGAUUUUGUUGAACUCCUCGGGACACAAGGCAUUGAAGAGAAUGUCACAAGCUUGAGCAUUGUUUUGCAACAUCCGCAAUUCUUCCGUUGUAGCUUCGCUAUCCGGAACUUUUCCUUCCUCGAAGAAUUCACCUUGCAUACCAACACAAAUAAUGCCCCAUGCGGCUGGGUUAUGACCAAGAAUAUGCAUUUUCAUUUUAUGCUUCCAACUAGCAAAAUUUGUACCAUCAAAGUAAGGACCUCUACGAAAAUUACCCUCACUAGACGCCAUACUCUCCUAGGUUGUGAAACCAAGCUUAUGGAGUCCAAUGCAAUGGAAACCAAUACAAUGGAGACCAAAGCUCUGAUACCACUUGUAGGAUCGAAAGUAUGUCUAGAGGGGGGGUGAUUAGACUACUUGACAAUAUAAAAAUUCUGCCUUUUGACAAAGAACAGUUUUUGGCAGAUUCACAAUUAUGAGCAAGUCAAGCAUCACCCUACACAUGCAAUUCUAGAGUAUAGGCAGCGGAAAGUAAAUUGCACAUGUAGUAAAGAGAGGUGGAGAAGAGCAAACGCAAUUUUGGAGACGCGGUGAUUUUUCUCGUGGUUCCGAUAGGUGGUGCUAUCGUACUUCCACGUUGAUGGAGACUUCAACCCACGAAAGGUAACGGCUGCGAGAGUCCCAGGAGGGCUCCACCCAUGAAGGGUCCACGAAGAAGCAACCUUGUCUAUUCCAUCAUGGCCUACGCCCACGGAGGGCUAGCCUUACUCGGCGUAGAUCUUCACGAAGUAGGCGAUCUCCUUGCCCUUACAAACUUCUUGGUUCAACUCCACAUCUCGACGGAGGCUCCCAAGCGACACCUAACCAAUCUAGGAGGCACCACCCUCCAAAAGGUAAUAGAUGUUGUAGAUGAUGAUGAACUCCUUGCUCUUGUGCUUCAAAUGAUAAUCUCCCCAACACUCAACUCUCCUCACUGAUUUGGCUGUGGUGGAAGAAAGGAUUGAGUGGAAAGCAACUUGGGAAGGCUAGAGAUCAAGCUUCAUAUGGUGGGAGUGGAGCAACUUGAUCUCAACACAAGGGUAGGUAGUUCUCUUCUCAGAAAUGUAAGGUAGGAGUGGUAGUUCUUUCUGAUGGCUCUCUCCACGAAUGAAGAGGGGGUGGAGGGGUAUAAAUAGCCUCCACACAAAAUCCAACCGUUACACACAUUUGAGCAAUCUCGGUGGGACCGAAGUUGACAACUCGGUGAGACCGAUAGUUCAAAUAAUGUGAACGUUGGGAUUUUCGGUGGGACCGAAAAUACAAUCUCGGUUAGUCCGAUUAGUGCAAUGACAAGAGCAUGCCAAUUUCGGUGGGACCGACUUCAUCAUCUUGGUGACACCGAUUUGAUGACAGAAGGUUACAGAAGCUUGGCAACUCAUUUUUCGGUGAGACCGAGUUCAGAAUCGGAAAAUCCGAGUUUGCUAGGGUUUGGCUUUAUGGCUGAGGUGGUUCAUCUCGGUGUGACUGAGUUUGGAAUAUCGGUGGGACCGAGACUACUUAUGAGUGUAUAUGACAGUGAAAGUUGCUGAUAGUUUAGGAGAUGUAUCACUAAGCACUUGAGCAACCAGAUCAUCAUCAUAACCUCAUCCCCUUUUAAUAGUAUUGGCUUUUCCUAUGGACUCAAUGUGAUCUUGGAUCACUAAACCAAAAAUGGAGUCUUGAACUUUUGCCAAUGCUUGCCUUAGCAUUUUGAGGGGUCCACUUCUUCAGUCCUUGCCAUACCCAUAUCACUGAACUCUCUGAAAUGAUUCUCAAGUAACUAUUAGUUCAAUGAUAUAUAUAUGUUGUUAUUAAUUACCAAAACCACCCGGGGAUUAGUUGCACUUUCAAUCUCCCCCUUUUUGGUAAUUGAUGACAACAUAUAGAUCAA
rnacentral:lncRNA from 1 species